rfam:Dictyostelium purpureum unplaced genomic scaffold DICPTscaffold_126, whole genome shotgun sequence.
GGGGAUGUAGCUCAUAUGGUAGAGCGUAAGGUUUGCAAUAAGACAGCAACAUCAGACCUCCUUAAGGUAAGGGGAUCGAUACCCCUCUUCUCCA